rnacentral:rRNA from 1 species
UGGGGAAUAUUGCACAAUGGGCGCAAGCCUGAUGCAGCCAUGCCACGUGUAUGAAGAAGGCCUUCGGGUUGUAAAGUACUUUCAGCGGGGAGGAAGGGAGUAAAGUUAAUACCUUUGCUCAUUGACGUUACCCGCAGAAGAAGCACCGGCUAACUCCGUGCCAGCAGCCGCGGUAAUACGGAGGGUGCAAGCGUUAAUCGGAAUUACUGGGCGUAAAGCGCACGCAGGCGGUUUGUUAAGUCAGAUGUGAAAUCCCCGGGCUCAACCUGGGAACUGCAUCUGAUACUGGCAAGCUUGAGUCUCGUAGAGGGGGGUAGAAUUCCAGGUGUAGCGGUGAAAUGCGUAGAGAUCUGGAGGAAUACCGGUGGCGAAGGCGGCCCCCUGGACGAAGACUGACGCUCAGGUGCGAAAGCGUGGGGAGCAAACGGG